UGGAGGCCUCUUAAAGAAACAGGACGCCAUUCCCCUGCGGGCUACAGGGUCUGAAGGAAGCUGGAACACACUUUUUUCUCCUGCCUUUGGACAUCGGAACUCCAGGCUCUCCAGGCUUUCCAGACUCUGGACUUAACAGCAGUCUCUGGACUUACAACAGCAGCCCCCUGGAUCCUCAAGCCUUUGGCCUCAGACUAAUAAUUAUAUCAGCAACUUCCUGGUUCUGAGGCUUUUGGGCAGCCAUGCUACUAGCAACCCAGCAGUUCCAGCAGAAGGCCUGUUGUGGGACUUCUCAGCCUCCAUGAGCAUGUAAGCUUGCUUAAAAGAACUCCAGAUGGCCCGGGAGCUGCAGGACCCUUUGCCAAUUAUCAGAGGAAGAUAAGGCCUGUGUGAAACCGGGACAAACCUGAACCAGCGACCCCGUGUUACCUUUAGAUCAUUAACAUAUCAUCAUAAUGCUAAAACCUCACCCAUAGAAGAUAAUUGCUGCCAUUUUCUGAAUAUACAUUAUAUGAAGAAGCAUGUUCAUGAUCUGCACCUGCACAUCUGGAGUUCCUCCCCAUACAUGUUUACGUACCUCCCUGCCCCACAUCUAACUCCUUAAAAUCCCCCAGCUUCUCAUAUCUCAGGGAGAAGGAGUCUUUAGAGAAAGAGCUCCCUCCUCCAUUCCUGGCCAGGAAUAAAACCUGCUUGCCUUUUUUCCCAAUUAGGUGUUACAGUAGAACUCAGUUACCCUGUAACAAUAAGAAUUGCAUUAAAUCCUUAUAUCAACUUGGGAAGAAUUGACAGCUUUACCAUAUUAAGUCUUCUAAUCCAUAAAUAAGUAUGUUCAUCCAUUUUUUUAGAUUUUUGAAAUUUCUUUCAUCAGCAUUUUGUAGUUCUUUGCCUCACUAUCUAGAUCCCAAAUAUUUUCUGUUUUUUUUUUCUGAAAGUUUUAUCUCUUACAAUUUAAACCUGAGUAGUUCUCAGCAUGCAAGCCCCAUACAUGUUUUGUUGGAUUUAAAUUUAAGUACUUUGGUUUUUGAUAAAUUGUAAGUGCUACUGUAUUUUAAGUUUCAGUGCCCAUGUGUUCCUUGCUGGUAUAAAGAAAUACAACAUAUUCCUGCAGUCUAGCUGAAGUCACUUAUCAGCUCUAGGAGUUUCUGUUUUUUGUUUUAUUUUUGGUAGAUCUUUGAGAUUUCCUACUUUGAUAAGCAUGUUAUCCACGAAUAGGGACAGUUUUAUUACUACCUUUCUGAUCUGUAUGCCUUUUAUUUCCUUUUCUUACCUUAUUGCAUUGGGUAGAACUUCUAACACUGUUUAACAAUAAUGGUAAGAGCAGUCAUCCUUGCCCUUUUCCUCUUCUCAGGGGUACAACCAUUCAGUCUUUCACUGUUAAGUAUGAUGCUGGCUGUGGAGUUGUUAUAGAUGCUCUUUAACAAGUUAGGACAAAUUCCCUCUAUUUCUCUUUUUCUGAGCAUUUUUAAAACCAUGAAUGGGUAUUUUGUGAAAUGCUUUUUCUGUAUUGAUUGGUAAGAUCAAUUUUCUUUUGUAUCCAGUUAGUAUGUUGGAUUAUGUUGACUGAUUUGUGAAUAGUAAAACUGCCCUGCAUUCCUGCA
rnacentral:lncRNA from 1 species